CUUCUCUCCAGAUCUCUCCAUUACACUGUGUUGGAUCGAACUCAGGACCUUGCACUUUUGAGGCAGGCGCUGAAACCACUGAGCUAAAUCCUUGGCACCAGAAAGUUUUACUCUUACACACCUUUCAGGAUUAAGCUGAAACAUUAUCUGCUCCAUGAUGCCUUCCCCAAAUCUAAUUGCGACAUGCAUAAUAAAUGAGGCAAUAGUUCGACCUAGAUGUUCACGAGCAAGCACAUCCCGGGUAGCUGUCCUCUACGAGUUCGUUUCCACCUUGUUUCUUCAUUUUUCUUUCUGUCUUUUAUUUCAAAGUAUCUUUCCACUAUGAAUGUAAUGGUUAUGUACUACAAACAUGUAUUAAUAAAAAAGUUUAGUUUUUACACUUAGAUUUAUGAUGUCUCAAUUUUUGCGCUUAUUGUGAG
ensembl:lncRNA